rnacentral:rRNA from 1 species
AAUAUUGGACAAUGGGCGCAAGCCUGAUCCAGCCAUGCCGCGUGAGUGAUGAAGGCCCUAGGGUUGUAAAGCUCUUUCACCGGUGAAGAUAAUGACGGUAACCGGAGAAGAAGCCCCGGCUAACUUCGUUCCAGCAGCUGCGGUAAUACGAAGUGGGCUAGCGUUGUUCGGAAUUACUCGGCGUAAAGCGCACGUAGGCGGAUCGGUCAGUUAGGGGUGAAAUCCCGGGGCUCAACCCCGGAACUGCCUUUAAUACUACCAGUCUAGAGUCCGAGAGAGGUGAGUGGAACUCCUAGUGUAGAGGUGGAAUUCGUAGAUAUUAGGAAGAACACCAGUGGCGAAGGCGGCUCACUGGCUCGGUACUGACGCUGAGGUGCGAAAGCGUGGGGAGCAAA